rnacentral:tRNA from 1 species
CAAAAGAUUAGUUAAUAUAAUAUAUAACACUGGAUUGUCAAAUCAGAAUAAUUAAUAUAUAUCUUUU